rnacentral:rRNA from 1 species
AGAGUUUGAUCCUGGCUCAGAACGAACGCUGGCGGCAUGCCUAACACAUGCAAGUCGAACGAGCCUUCGGGUCUAGUGGCGCACGGGUGCGUAACGCGUGGGAACCUGCCCCUUGGUUCGGAAUAACACAGAGAAAUUUGUGCUAAUACCGGAUGAUGACUUCGGUCCAAAGAUUUAUCGCCGAGGGAUGGGCCCGCGUA